rnacentral:rRNA from 1 species
UACGUAGGGUGCAAGCGUUGUCCGGAAUUAUUGGGCGUAAAGAGCUCGUAGGCGGUUUGUUGCGUCGGCUGUGAAAUCCCGAGGCUCAACCUCGGGUCUGCAGUCGAUACGAGCAAACUAGAGUGUUGCAGGGGAGACUGGAAUUCCUGGUGUAGCGGUGAAAUGCGCAGAUAUCAGGAGGAACACCAAUGGCGAAGGCAGCACUCUGGGACGUGACUGACGCCGAGACGCGAAAGCGUGGGGAGCAAACAGG